rnacentral:lncRNA from 1 species
GUAGAAGAGGCAGGUUGGCUGGGUUGUAUGUUUCAAUAUCCCAAAAUUUAUUUUCGAUUCUUAGUAAAGCCAUCAACAUGAAUACAUACCAAUACAAUACUCAAAUACUGGAACAGAAGUUUCGAUUUUAUUACCCAUGAAAGUCCAUCAGUAAAAUCUUUCUUUUCCCGAUUAAAAAUAAAAAUGAAGAAGCAAAAUAAAGGGAAAAUGUCUCUCCCAGGACUCCUCCCGGCUGAAACUUCUUCGAUAUAGAUGGCCCGGCCGAAAAAAAAGACCCACACAUACAGUUUGUGAAAGUGAAGAAGGAAAUCAUCCAUGGGUUCGCUAGCUAUAUAAAAAAGGUAGCUUCCUUACAUAAAACCUGCACCGAUAAUAAAAAGAAAAAAAAACAGAUUCAUUUGAUGUCAAUUGGAAGGGAAAACAAUCACGUAUGAAAGGAGCGGCAUCUCUUCCUCAAAAUAAGAAAUUAGGAAAGAAAAUCCCCCUCGACUCAUGUACAUGCCCACUUACUCCUGUAUAAAAAGGAUUAACAUGACUCUCUAGAGCUGUAGAUUGCUAUUACGUGUUUGCAUAUUUUUUAUCCUAAUAUGAAGAUAAAAAUAACUGCCAUUAAAACAUCGUUAUAUUUAUGUACAUUGCUGAUUAAUAAAAAAGAAUUUGAUUGUAUCAUGCGCCAAUAAUAUCUCAUAUCAACAGUACAGUUUUUUUACAGCCACUACUUUCCCUCUCAUAUACUACAUAGCAAGGAAAAAUAAAAGAUUGCAUAACAGGAUGUUCGUUGGAUUACGAGAAAGGAACCCGACACCCGGAUUCUUUUUUUCCCCAUUUCUUUCAUGUUUUCUAUUGUAUUUCUAAAACAUGUAACAGACUGGACCUGAAUUCGCAUCAAGAUUACAUACAUCUCAACAAUGGGCACAUAAUGAAUACCAUCAAAGCUCAUUGAUAUGUGAUUAAUCAGACAGAAACAGCCAAAUAUGGGUUUGAGUGUCAUAGUCAUGCACAAAAAUUCAUUUACAUAAAUAAUUGGAUACAUACAGAAGCGUGAGUGAUUUGCGAAUACACUAUUUGCACAGCAAUGUAAUUAAACGGCGGUUUUGCACAAGAGAAACCCAUCACAGACUCACAAGUAACCCGACUACCCGUACAGAAACACGCACAUAAGGUCAACUAUAGGAACAACCGAAAAAAAAGAACAAGCACAGCGACAGCUUCAGCGUCUUCUAUGGUACCGAAUGGCUUCCACCAAGACGCGAAAAAAGAGGAACCGGGAGUACUGGAAUACCUUCAUCAUCUUACAAGAAGUUAGAUGGCUCCUGUGAGCUGCCAAUCACAUGAUGCGGGAGUGAAACAGCAUCGUAUAUCCCGCUGAGUCGCUGGAGUUACAACCAUACUAGGGUGGUGCUAUUCCGCAUCUGCAUGUACAUCUGCCAAAUCAUGGUUACAACGUCAGUUUCUGAUUUUGCCAACAGAAAACACACACAAAAGCAUCAAAAAACUGAAAUCUCGACGAGCAGAAGUUCUUAAUUUUGUGGUUUCCAUCACAAAACUGACGUAGCCUAGGACCAGACGGGACCAAACAGAGAGUUGAGAGUACACCUAAGAAACUAAGAAAUAUAUAUUAGGCAGAAAAAUAUCAGAAAGAAAAAUCCGUUAUGACAUAUUAGAAAGAAAAAUAUCAGAUGGCAUGUCCCAAUGUAAAUGUACAAAACCCGUCGCUUUAUGGUAUAUAGAUUAUAAUGUAACGUCAAAUAACUAGGCCGUGCGAACGCGUGGGUUGGCGACUAGUAACUAAAAUUAAGAGCUUCGCACCCAGGUUCUAAUAAUUCUUAGAAUUAACAUGGCUUCUAUCUACUAUAAAGUGGGAGAUCAACUCAUAUAUGCAGUUUCACAUCUGCAGAAACUUUUCCCGUGUUUUUAAAUGUGAAAAGGUUGAUGGGUUUAUUAGUAAUCAAGCAUAGAUCCACAAUGAAGCCUACAUAAAUAUCUGUAGGUGUCGAUGCAAGACAAAGUAUUACAGAAGCAUGACAAACAAUACUCCAAACUCUAAAAAGUAACAAUUAUACACUGAGAUGUACAAACUAUUAUCCCAUGCUGUGAAAACAUAGUGAGAUGGUACUUCAGUGCUUUCUUUCUGCAACAUUGAUAUUAGAUGUGAUAGGUCUGGAUAACAAAUACCUAUUGAUUUUCAUCAAAUAUUCAGUCAAUUAGCAUCAUUAGUGGGCUGGACAAGAGGGGGAGGGAGAUGGUACCUCCCGCAAUGGGUCGUCGUGGU